rnacentral:rRNA from 1 species
ACGGCGGAUAACUACUUGUUGUGGCGUGCGCAGGUGCUACCACUUCUCCGCAGUCGUUACUUGGAGGGCUUUAUUGAUGGUACUCUGCCGUGCCCUCCGCCAUAUCAUCCGGGGCAUCAUGCUUGGGUGGCUCAAGAUCAAGCCAUCCUCUCUGCUAUACAAUCAUCUCUUACGGAGGGGGUCUCGUCACUGGUCAUCUUCGCUGCUAUGUCUCGGGACGCGUGGACAACUCAUCAUACCGGUUUUGCUUCGCAGUCCCAGGCGCGUGCUCAUGCCAUUCGCACGGUGCUCGGGGAGGUGAAGCUUAAAGACCUCACCGUCACUAACUACUUCAAUAAGGUGACGGGUAUGGCUGACACCCUUGCCUUCAUUGGUAAGGCUCUUGGUCCGGAGGAGUUCACUUCCUAUGUGCUCAAUGGCCUGGGUGACGACUAUAAUAAUUUGGUGGAGAAUAUCAAUGGUCAUGACACCCCGAUCCAGCCACACGAGUUGUAUGUGCGCCUCCUUGCCACGGAA